GGUCCCGUAGCUCAGUUGGUUAGAGCGUUGUUCUUCUGGCCAUGCGAAGUACAAGCCGAAGGUCGCGUGUUCGAACCCCGCCGGGAUCA
rnacentral:tRNA from 1 species